GUGACUGUGGCGGUGGAGGGGGAGGAUGAGGUAGCCAACACUGUUUAUAUAUAUAUAUAUAUUUUAAUUGGAGUAGCCCCCAAAAUAUUGGGGCAUAUAAAAAAAGACAACUCUGUUCCGCAGAGUAGCUGUUGACUUUAUAGUUGCGCAGGAACUUUGUUGACUCUAGAGAACCUCUGGCAAAUCGCACAUCCCCAUGGCGGCGACUUUGCAUGCGGAUGUCAUCCAUAUCAACUUUCGAUGCCAGUUUCUGCGCCUUCAGGUAAUGGGAAAUCAGGAUUCCAUUCUGUACAGGGACCCUGAGAAACGGAUACCACAUACAAGGAAGGCA